GACGAACGCUGGCGGCGUGCUUAACACAUGCAAGUCGAACGAAGUGGCGAACGGGUGAGUAAUACGUGGGUAACCUGCCCUCCUUUUUGGGAUAAGCCUUGGAAACGGGGUCUAAUACCGAAUAAAGGGGGAUGGGCUCGCGGCGUAUCAGCUUGUUGGUGGGGGAAUGGCCUACCAAGGCGGUGCCGGGUAGCCGGCCUGAGAGGGGGACCGGGGACAUUGGGACUGAGAUACGGCCCAGAGUCCGACGGGGGGGAGAAGUGGGGGAUAUUGCACAAGGGGCGAAAGCCUGAUGCGGCGACGCCGCGUGGGGGAUGAAGGCUUUCGGGUUGUAAACCUCUUUCGCAAGCGAACGGGUAGGUGGAGAAGAAGCGCCGGCUAACUACGUGCCAGCAGCCGCGGUAAUAC
rnacentral:rRNA from 1 species